CCUGGCUGGGAACACUCCCAUUGCCAGUAGUCUCAAGAGACCGCCUUUGCUCCUGCUCUAGCUCAUACCUGUUUUCGCACUAGCCAUCCCCUACUCUAUCCUGCAUCUGUUCCUGCCUCAGCUGGCCACCUAGCAACUCUGAUACUAAUGACUUCAGUGAGGAUACUUGUCGGGGAUCUGCAGGGGACAACAUGGUGCCAUGUACGUGGAGACUCUGCCUCCAGACCAAGUCUGGCCCCCUCUGGUUUUGCCCCUGAUCCCUGGCAGCAAAGCUUCAGGGACUCCCCUGGAUCUCCCCUGAAGUGUAAUCUGACAGGAAAGAAGUAAGGCUAAAUCCUGCUUUGAGUUACACUGGUGUAACUCCAUUGAAUGGAGUCAAUGCAGGUUUACACUGACAUAUCUGAAAACAGAAUUUGGCUCACAAAAGC